rnacentral:rRNA from 1 species
GGGGCGUCCUAUCAUGCAGUAGACGCUGAGAGAGGAGCUUGCUCUUCUUGGAUGAGUUGCGAACGGGUGAGUAACGCGUAGGUAACCUGCCUUGUAGCGGGGGAUAACUAUUGGAAACGAUAGCUAAUACCGCAUAACAAUGGAUGACACAUGUCAUUUAUUUGAAAGGGGCAAUUGCUCCACUACAAGAUGGACCUGCGUUGUAUUAGCUAGUAGGUGAGGUAAUGGCUCACCUAGGCGACGAUACAUAGCCGACCUGAGAGGGUGAUCGGCCACACUGGGACUGAGACACGGCCCAGACUCCUACGGGAGGCAGCAGUAGGGAAUCUUCGGCAAUGGGGGCAACCCUGACCGAGCAACGCCGCGUGAGUGAAGAAGGUUUUCGGAUCGUAAAGCUCUGUUGUAAGUCAAGAACGGGUGUGAAAAUGGAAAGU